GAGCUUCACUACGCUGAACGGAGAGCAGGAGCUCGACCGAACUGAGACGGAGUUGAAGGGCUCCAGUGGGAAGGAGAGAGUAGAUGAGCACAGUGAUGGAGUAUCUGCGCUCAAAAUGAAUCGGACUGUAGUCAAUUCUACUUUUAAUUAUAAUACGACCCAGGAGACGGUUUCAGGGUUGCCAGAAACUGUGGCGGUUCUCCUCACUCAGGAAGACUCCCUGAAGAAGAACUCCGGACAAAAGAAGAAGAACCGGGAACGUGGGAAGGGCAAAGGAAAUAAAGGACGACAUAAGAGGCAGAGACAACGCCUGGUAAAUGUCCUUGAAGGGGUCCAAACUAAACCUAAAAACUUAACUUC
rnacentral:lncRNA from 1 species